rnacentral:rRNA from 1 species
UACAGAGGGGGCAAGCGUUGUUCGGAAUUACUGGGCGUAAAGGGCGCGUAGGCGGCCUCUUAAGUCGAACGUGAAAUCCCCGGGCUCAACCCGGGAACUGCGUCCGAUACUGGGAGGCUUGAAUCCGGGAGAGGGAUGUGGAAUUCCAGGUGUAGCGGUGAAAUGCGUAGAUAUCUGGAGGAACACCGGUGGCGAAGGCGGCAUCCUGGACCGGUAUUGACGCGUGAGGCGCGAAAGCUAGGGGAGCAAACGGG